rnacentral:sRNA from 17 species
GCCUUGUCCUGCGCCUCCUUUCGGCGGGCCGCCGCUUCAUCGGCAGGAUAGGCGAAUUGUACGCUGUAGUAGAGAUCAGGCUGUUCCU